GACGAACGCUGGCUGCGUGCCUAAUACAUGCAAGUCGAACGCAGUGGGGACGGGUGAGUAACACGUGGGUAACCUCCCAUCAGAGGGGAUAACACUUGGAAACAGGUGCUAAACCGAUACUGAUGGAUGGACCCGCGGUGCAUUAGCUAGUUGGUGAGGUAACGGCUCACCAAGGCCACGAGGCAUAGCCGACCUGAGAAGGUGAUCGGGCACACGUGGACUGAGACAAGGCGCAGACGCCUACGGGAGGCGGCAGUAGGGAAUGAUGGGGAACGGACGAAAGUCUGACCGAGCAACGCCGCGGGAGUGAAGAAGGUUUUCGGAUCGUAAAACUCUGUUGUUAGAGAAGCGGUAUCUAUCCAGAAAGCCACGGCUAACGACGUGCCGGCAGCCGCGGUAAUAC
rnacentral:rRNA from 1 species